rnacentral:rRNA from 1 species
AGUGAACGCUGGCGGUAGGCCUAACACAUGCAAGUCGAACGGCAGCACAGUAAGAGCUUGCUCUUACGGGUGGCGAGUGGCGGACGGGUGAGGAAUACAUCGGAAUCUACUUUUUCGGGGGGGAUAACGUAGGGAAACUUACGCUAAUACCGCAUACGACCUACGGGGGAAAGCAGGGGAUCUUCGGACCUUGCGCGAUUGAAUGAGCCGAUGUCGGAUUAGCUAGUUGGCGGGGUAAAGGCCCACCAAGGCGACGAUCCGUAGCUGGUCUGAGAGGGUGGUCAGCCACACUGGAACUGAGACACGGUCCAGACUCCUACGGGAGGCAGCAGUGGGGAAUAUUGGACAAUGGGCGCAAGCCUGAUCCAGCCAUCCCGCGUGGGUGAAGAAGGCCUUCGGGUUGUAAAGCCCUUUUGUUGGGAAAGAAAAGCAGCAGGUUAAUACCCCGCUGUUCUGACGGUACCCAAAGAAUAAGCACCGGCUAACUUCGUG